rnacentral:rRNA from 1 species
CACGUAGGGUGCGAGCGUUGUCCGGAAUUAUUGGGCGUAAAGAGCUCGUAGGCGGCUUGUCACGUCGGGUGUGAAAGCCCGGGGCUUAACCCCGGGUCUGCAUUCGAUACGGGCUAGCUAGAGUGUGGUAGGGGAGAUCGGAAUUCCUGGUGUAGCGGUGAAAUGCGCAGAUAUCAGGAGGAACACCGGUGGCGAAGGCGGAUCUCUGGGCCAUUACUGACGCUGAGGAGCGAAAGCGUGGGGAGCGAACAGG